GAGGAUAUAGCUAUUUCCUUUGCAUUUAUUAGUCUAAGUAAAGAGCGUGGAGGUUCGAGUCCUCUUCA
rnacentral:tRNA from 1 species